rnacentral:rRNA from 1 species
GUGUCAACAGCCGCGGUAAUACGUAGGGUGCAAGCGUUAAUCGGAAUUACUGGGCGUAAAGCGUGCGCAGGCGGUUUUGUAAGACAGAGGUGAAAUCCCCGGGCUCAACCUGGGAACUGCCUUUGUGACUGCAAGGCUGGAGUACGGCAGAGGGGGAUGGAAUUCCGCGUGUAGCAGUGAAAUGCGUAGAUAUGCGGAGGAACACCGAUGGCGAAGGCAAUCCCCUGGGCCUGUACUGACGCUCAUGCACGAAAGCGUGGGAGCAAACAGGAUUAGAUACCCUGGUAGUCCACGCCCUAAACGAUGUCAACUGGUUGUUGGGUAUUUGUUUACUCAGUAACGAAGCUAACGCGUGAAGUUGACCGCCUGGGGAGUACGGUCGCAAGACUGAAACUCAAAUAAAUUGACGG